UAAAUACCCAGCAUGCCCCAUUCCUCCUCUCACGGAGUGUCACUCACCGAGCAUUAAAUACCCAGCAUGCCCCAUUCCUCCUCUCACUGAGUGUCACUCACCGAGCAUUAAAUACCCAGCAUGCCCCAUUCCUCCUCUCACUGAGUGUCACUCACCGAGCAUUAAAUACCCAGCAUGCCCCAUUCCUCCUCUCACUGAGUGUCACUCACCGAGUAUUAAAUACCCAGCAUGCCCCAUUCCUCCUCUCACGGAGUGUCACUCACCGAGUAUUAAAUACCCAGCAUGCCCCAUUCCUCCUCUCACUGAGUGUCACUCACCGAGCAUUAAAUACCCAGCAUGCCCCAUUCCUCCUCUCACUGAGUGUCACUCACCGAGCAUUAAAUACCCAGCAUGCCCCAUUCCUCCUCUCACUGAGUGUCACUCACCGAGCAUUAAAUACCCAGCAUGCCCCAUUCCUCCUCUCACUGAGUGUCACUCACCGAGCAUUAAAUACCCAGCAUGCCCCAUUCCUCCUCUCACUGAGUGUCACUCACCGAGCAUUAAAUACCCAGCAUGCCCCAUUCCUCCUCUCACUGAGUGUCACUCACCGAGCAUUAAAUACCCAGCAUGCCCCAUUCCUCCUCUCACUGAGUGUCACUCACCGAGCAUUAAAUACCCAGCAUGCCCCAUUCCUCCUCUCACUGAGUGUCACUCACCGAGCAUUAAAUACCCAGCAUGCCCCAUUCCUCCUCUCACUGAGUGUCAUUCACCGAGCAUUAAAUACCCAGCAUGCCCCAUUCCUCCUCUCACUGAGUGUCAUUCACCGAGCAUUAAAUACCCAGCAUGCCCCAUUCCUCCUCUCACUGAGUGUCACUCACCGAGCAUUAAAUACCCAGCAUGCCCCAUUCCUCCUCUCACGGAGUGUCACUCACCGAGCAUUAAAUACCCAGCAUGCCCCAUUCCUCCUUUCACUGAGUGUCACUCACCGAGUAUUAAAUACCCAGCAUGCCCCAUUCCUCCUCUCACGGAGUGUCACUCACCGAGCAUUAAAUACCCAGCAUGCCCCAUUCCUCCUCUCACUGAGUGUCACUCACCGAGUAUUAAAUACCCAGCAUGCCCCAUUCCUCCUCUCACGGAGUGUCACUCACCGAGCAUUAAAUACCCAGCAUGCCCCAUUCCUCCUUUCACUGAGUGUCACUCACCGAGCAUUAAAUACCCAGCAUGCCCCAUUCCUCCUCUCACGGAGUGUCACUCACCGAGCAUUAAAUACCCAGCAUGCCCCAUUC